rnacentral:tRNA from 1 species
GGGGCUGUAGCUCAGCGGUUAGAGCUGCCGGCUCAUAACCGGUUGGUCGCGCGUUCGAAUCGCGCCGGCCCCCCCA